ACACUCUUCAAAAUCUCUCCUUUAUUUCUUGCCCCACCAAACUAUUGCCUGCUACUCCAAUUGAUUUCGCCAUUAUUUUCUUUCCUCACAGCCGGCCCUGCCCCAUAUGGACAGACGCCUCGUCGAGGCAGUUCUCAAAGGCGACGUUUCAACCUUCCUCUCUCUCGCUCAAGAAGAGGAAGAUAUCAUCAAACAAGUCGUCUCCGGCUCCCUGAACACUGUCUUACACUUAGCAGCGCGGUUUAGGCACUUGCAAUUGGCGUCGGAGAUAGUGAAUCUAAGGCCUGAAUUGGCGUCGGCCGAGAAUGAAAAGCUGGAGACUCCUUUGCAUGAAGCAUGUAGAGAGGGGAGAGUGGAGAGUGGAGAUUGUGGCGCUUUUGAUGGAGGUAGAUCCAUGGAUUGCUCCAAAGGUUAACCGGAACGACGAGAGCGUGCUGUUUGUGGGGUGCGAGAGAGGGAAGCUUGAUGUGGUGAAGCAUCUUUUGGUGAACCAUUCAUGGCUGUUGAUGCUGGAAUUGGAUGCUCCCACCAUUUCACUUCAUGCUGCAGCUUCAGGAGGCCAUACAGGUGAGUAUCAACCUUGAUUGUGGCGGAUCAGGAGUCUUUGAACUCGAUUUACUACCAGAUGUACUCCCUUGCACCUAGCUUGCAGCAAAGGUCACCUUGAGAUCACAAGAGAGCUUCUGAGGUUGGACCCAGACCUCACUUCCUUACAGGACAAUGAUGGUCGAACACCUCUCCACUGGGCGGCCAUGAAAGGGCGUGUCAACAUCAUUGACGAGAUCCUCUCUGUCAGUCUCCAAUCGGCAGAGAUGAGAACCGAACAUGGUGAGACUGUUCUACACCUGGGAGUGAAGAACAACCAGUAUGAAGCCGUCAAGUACUUGACAGAGACCCUCAACAUCUCCCAGCUCCUCAACACGCCGGAUAGUGAUGGCAAUACCAUCUUCCAUCUCGCCACUGCCGAAAAACUCACCACUCUAAGCUAAUUAUAUAUCAUACUGUAUAUUUAUAUGGGACCUACGUACUUUUGCCAACUCUAACUUUGUCUUUAGCUGGGUGUCAAUGUAAAUGUUCUAAAGAAUCUAAACCGCAAGGGUUACAGCCCUCUAGAAAGGAUGGUUAACACGGUGGACCUUCAACUUUACCCCCAUUAUUAAAUUACCUUUAUAGAGACCCAGAAGCUUUUCUA